AUUGAACGCUGGCGGCAGGCUUAACACAUGCAAGUCGAGCGGAGCGAGGGUGUUUGCACCUUAGCUUAGCGGCGGACGGGUGAGUAAUGCUUAGGAAUCUGCCUAUUAGUGGGGGACAACAUUCCGAAAGGGAUGCUAAUACCGCAUACGCCCUACGGGGGAAAGCAGGGGAUCUUCGGACCUUGCGCUAAUAGAUGAGCCUAAGUCGGAUUAGCUAGUUGGUGGGGUAAAGGCCUACCAAGGCGACGAUCUGUAGCGGGUCUGAGAGGAUGAUCCGCCACACUGGGACUGAGACACGACCCAGACUCCUACGGGAGGCAGCAGUGGGGAAUAUUGGACAAUGGGGGGAAACCCUGAUCCAG
rnacentral:rRNA from 1 species